AUGCUCUCCCUGGCCAGGGCUGUGUGGCAACACUUCCAGCACCUAACGAGGCGCUUUAUUUGCAGCAGCCGGGGCAGGAUUCAGCCCCUUGGAUGCCCCGGAGCUCCAGCCCGGAUCCUGCUGCUGCAGCUCCAUCCCUGCCCGGGGACUCGGCUCCCAGACCUCGGCGUAAUUGACUGGCUGCUCAGAGGCGAGGGAAGUCAGGAUCCCCGUGCUGGGGAAGGGAGCAGUGAUUUUCCUGUCUACAAAUCCACUUUGCACUGGUGGUGUUGGUUGGGGUUAAAGCCUGACAAAGUUCAGGCUCAUAAAAAGAGGCUGACAAAGCAAAGCAGAAAGAGAGACGCUUCCAAGACUUUUCAAGUGAGAAACAAAACAGCACUGUACAAAAAUGACUGGCCCUCCAUUUGCCUGGAAUCCCCAAGGCUGCUCUCCACUGGCAGGCUGCAUGGCAAUGCCUGAUUAGCUUGCACUCCGUGUCCUCACUGUGCUGCAGGAGAGAAGGACAGGGCUGGCAGGGUUUGCAGCAGCUCCAAAAGUCCCAGCACUGCUGCAGUGAAGACCUGCCCACAUUUCGUAGCAUUUCUUCCCAGAGAGAACAAGAUCUGCCUGAUGGAUGAAUGCAGAGACCCAGAAAAAGGGAAUUCAUAACCUGGAUGGCAAGUUUUGGAUGGAAUGAGCUGAAUUUGAGGUAGGUUGAUUCAUUGCAGGGGUGAUCUGCACAGCUUUCCAGUGGAAGCUCCACUGAGUUCACAGAACUGCUGCCAAUAUGUUCAAGCAAAGAAAGAGGUUGGAAUGGUGAGAGGAGCCCACCCAAAGUUGAUUUGCAGAUUGUCCCAGGUCAGGCUAAUCCUGUGCCUCAGCACUGAAGUGCUACAGAAAGCCUGAGACAGGCAGGUAUCAGCGAGGGGAUAAAAACAGAGCUUGUUUUGUUCUAAGGAAGGGGGCUGGCCUAACUUUUGUACAGCAAAUUCCUUCCUGAGCUGAUAAAGGCAGCAGCAGAUUGAAUAUCGAGCCCUCUCAGGGAACACUGUGCUGAAACCUGGGAGAUUCUGCCCAAAAUCCCCCUGCAGAACUGCAGCUUCCCAAAGUGCACCCACUAGCCCUGCUUGCCAACCCUCACAGACAGAAUUUGCUGACACAUAAAGCCUUCACUUUUUGUAUUUCAUCUCUGUUUCUCAUCUUCUCCUGCAAAUGCUAAAGAAAUGACACGAUCUGAGGCUGCAAAACCACGCUGCUGCCACUGCAUUUCAAUUCCCAGGCACGG
rnacentral:lncRNA from 1 species